rnacentral:lncRNA from 1 species
CCCAAGUAGCAUUCCAGUACGUUUCUAAUCCAUCAAUGACAAAUAAUUUACAACAGAAGAUGACAUAACUUCCACCAUCUUUCUGAACAUGACAUGAUAGAAUUGCUCAGCAUAAUGUUAGCGGAACAUAUAAUCCUUAGGGAUUUUUAAACUACAAUCAAGAUGGUCUAUUUCAUGCAAAUUUUAACUAUUUAGAUUCUCCAUACGUUUUUAUUGUUUUCUAGAUCAUCAGAUGAAGUAAAAAACCAGCUUGUGUAAUGUGAUCAUUUACCUCUGCUGCUGAAAUGAUAUGCAGGUUAGUCUUGCAGCUAGGCAGUUGAUUAAUGCAUUGUUGAACCGAGACCCCUCCAGCCGUUUAGGGUCAAGAGCUGGUGCUGCUGAAAUUAAACAACACCCUUUCUUCCACGGCAUUAAUUGGUCUCUUAUACGCUGCACGGUAAUAAAACUUCUACAUUAGAGAACUGAAACCAAAUCCAAAUGGUCAGAAGUUGUUUUUAACUCUUUGGAAGCUACUCUGUAGCUGCUUCUUCUGAUACAUUGUAGUGGUUGCUAUUUUACUUGUAGAGCCCACCGCCAUUGGAGGUACCUCUUCAAUUAAUCAAGAAAGAUACUACAAAUACCAAAGAUGUGAAGUGGGAAGAUGAUGGAAAGCUUGUUAACUCUAAUGACAUGGAUGUUUUCUAAAGGUUCAUUAAAGAGUCUCUAAGCUCUAAAAACUAUCAACAUGCAUUGUCAUGCGUAUUAUGUAGCAAUCUUCACAGUAGAUUAACCUUGCCAGCAAUAUUUUCAGAAAGAAUGAUCCAUAGAUUCUACUCUUCUUACUCGUGUUCAUUGAAUAAACAGGUAUAAGCUCUUACAAUGGGGCAUUGCACUACAUCAACAAACAAGAUGCUUCCCAAGUGCCCAAGUGCUACUCAAGGUGAAGCUAGGUAGGUGGCAGUACACUUGCUGAUUACUAAAGAUCGAUAAAUAGUCCCUAUUAACAUAUAGACUGUUCCGGCUUGGAGACAAAAGUGAUAGGUUGAUCGAUGCCAUAUCUUGAAGUCAGUUUACUUGGAGCCUCAUGGCAAAACACUUCAUAUUGAAGCUUUCAGCAAGAGUUUGACUUGGAACCAGAGUUGUAUACUGAAUAAAUAAAGUUUGACUUGACACCAGAGGAUGUAUACUGAAUAAAUGAAGUGCUGUGGAAUUUUGCUUAAUGAAAAAGAAAUUGUUCAUAUGAGUUGCAAUCAACCCCUUUUUUACUAUCUUUUACCCAAAUCCUAUACUCUUCACCAAAAAAUGAUGCAUUAGCUUCCUAUCUGAUCAUAUUCAAGACCCGUACAGUUAAACAUGAGAAUCAAUUAAAGAAAACAACAUUAAACCAUCUGCUAAUAGCUAAUUAACCAUGAAUCUUCAGAAAGUUCUUGUCAUUUAAAAAUAUAUAUAUGCUAACAGCUAAGCCAUCUUCCAUAGCUCCUGUUACCUCUAGCAUUGCUGUCAUUCUUGGCAUUCUAUCCACAAAACCUUAAUAUAUGAUAAUGCAGAAUAACGUAGAUAUUUGUUUAAAAAAUGAAUAAUAUGAGAAAUUAGUUUACCUGAAAUUAUCAAAAAAGAUAUUGAGGAAUGCCCAUUUGAAGACAGGAGGCUUGACCGAAAAAAUGAUGACUUGUGG